CCCUCCCAACCGUCCCCCAUCUCUCUCUCUCCAUCUUCAAACCUUCAAACUCUUGUUCUUCAUGUUCAUCACUAUUUCUAACAACCUUCAAGUGGUGUGAAGAUUCAAGGGUGAUCUCAAGGUGUUCUCUAGUGAUUCAAGCUUCCCAUCAUCUUCACUAGAAUUUCUACCCUAGCUUUGUGCUAGUAUGGAUUUUCUAAAGCCUAAAAUGAAACCAUCAUCACCUCUCUCUCUCCUCCCUCCCAACCGUCCCCCAUCUCUCUCUCUCCAUCUUCAAACCUUCAAACUCUUGUUCUUCAUGUUCAUCACUAUUUCUAACAACCUUCAAGUGGUGUGAAGAUUCAAGGGUGAUCUCAAGGUGUUCUCUAGUGAUUCAAGCUUCCCAUCAUCUUCACUAGAAUUUCUACCCUAGCUUUGUGCUAGUAGUUGUCGUGUAGCGGACAGGGUUUGAGAUUCGAUUCAAGACGCACUACUGAGCUGUUGCUUAGGAUGUUCGUGACACACUAGGGCGGGCCUAUGCCUUAGAGACUAAAAUAAAGAUGGAACCAGUUUAAUUAUGUGAUGAACACUUUGUUUCAGUUAAUUUAAGACUAUGUAACCUUUGCUUGAUGAAUAAAACAUAACUUUUAAU
rnacentral:lncRNA from 1 species